rnacentral:rRNA from 1 species
GGAAACCGGAGCUAAUACCGGAUAAUAUUUUGAACCGCAUGGUUCAAAAGUGAAAGACGGUAUUGCUGUCACUUAUAGAUGGAUCCGCGCUGCAUUAGCUAGUUGGUAAGGUAACGGCUUACCAAGGCAACGAUGCAUAGCCGACCUGAGAGGGUGAUCGGCCACACUGGAACUGAGACACGGUCCAG